UAUUGUUGCCCAUUCCUCAUCAUACACAGUAUAUCAAGCUUGUCCAAGCCACAGCCCAGGACAGCUUUGAAUGCGGCCCAACACAAGUUUGUAAACUUUCUUAAAGCUGGGAGUAUAGGCAUGCACCACCAUGCCCAGCUAUUUUUUUUUUUUUUUGUAGAGACAGGGUCUUGCCGUGUUGCCCAGGCUGGUCUUGAACUCCUAGACUCAAGUGAGGAAAAGAAGGAGUUUUCUUAGCCUCCUUGCCAGCAGAAUUUUGGAAUCCAAAGGCCUCUUUUCGUUUCAUACUGUCUGUGUCCCUUUCAUUCCAACCUGGUUAUGCUUCUGUAUAUAUAUUUCUUUCAAAAAUCUUAGAGGUCUCUGCAACUCUUAUGGGGAGGCACUUCGUUAGAUAACAGCCAGACCCACAAAUCUUUUUGAUAUAAGCCCUUCUCUAUCUUGGGCUUUGGCUUAGACUACAGAGAAACAACACCCUUAAAUUGCCUAGAAACCCUACUGUUUGAGAAUAAUUUUGAGACUUAUUCAUGUUGUUGUAUAUAUUGAUAGUUCAUUUACUUUAUAUUGCUCAGUAGUAUCC
rnacentral:lncRNA from 1 species